GCAGUUUUGCUUUAAUAUAGCUGUGGAUAAUUUUCAGAGUGAGCUCCAGGGUGACGUUGAGAAGCCAUUGCAAUGGACAUGAGCUCCAAAAUAAGUUUGAGACCCAAAUCUUCCUGUGAUGUGAAACAUGUUCAAUAAACACAUUUAAAAAUUAAAGUGUGUGAAGUUGGAAGGAAAUAAAUG